UUCAAUAAACGAAUAGCUUUAUGGCUUGAGAUGACAGUGAUUGAUUUUAAUAUUUUGGUUGCUUGAAUUUGCAUAAUAGGUUGAUUAGGAAUAUGAAAGCUAACAACCUUACGAAAACAAUCAAUUUUUGCAUGAUGAGUAGUUAACCAAUCAAUCCCUAGAAUUACAUCAAAUGCAAGUAUUUUCAAUGAAAUAAGAUCGACAGGUAAUGUG
rnacentral:lncRNA from 1 species